UGGAAUCGAGGAAGAGCCAGCAGCAGGAGGAUCUCAAGGAAUUGGGCCCUUCCGAGAUGGGGAGGUGGGGGCGGACCUGCGGGCGGCACGGGUCUUACCCAAGUGGUGGGGCGCUCAGGACCCAACAGCUCGCAGAGCCGCGGCCGGGGAGCCUGCUGGGGACGUCGGAGAAGCAGGCAUGAAGGAGCCGCCUAGAAGAAUCUCCGUCAGUAAUCACAUUUGGGAUACAGGCUCAUUGGCAGACUUGGAAGAGACCUGACAGAGGAUGCUGGUGGUCCCUGAAAGACAACUGUCACAGGAAGAGGAACUUGGUCCACACCAGGACCAGAAAGUGGGAGGGAUCAGUCAUUCCAGACACCUCACAGGGGCUGGUGGUUGAACUCACCCUGCCCCAGACUCUUUCAACAAAGAGAGUUUUCAUGCUGAGCUCACCACACCUGGGGCCCAAGCAGACCUCUGGUGGGGACCCCUGGCUGGGUAACAAGAUGGGGGACUUCCCUCAUCAUUCUGCUCUUGGAGCACCCUAAGGUGUGAGUGUCAGGACAGGAAAGGUGGGCACCCCAUGCAUGGGGCUUUGGCAGCAGCCUGGGCAAUAACACAGGCCAACCUCUGGCUCUGCUAGCGGCAUUAAUGCAGGAGCCUCAACUCAGCAGGGGCCGCAGGUGCCAACAACAGCAAAUGACUUCAAGACUGCUUUCCAAGUGCAGUGAGACACAUUAGGGAACACCCAGAAACAUAUGGGACAGGUGGACUUUGCAGGGAAAGGGAAUUCCCACACAGGCAGGAUGGCUCUGGGCUGACAUAAACCGUGGUUUAAUUUU